rnacentral:rRNA from 1 species
UCGAGAAUAUUCGACAAUGGGCGAAAGCCUGAUCGAGCGACGCCGCGUGCAGGAUGAAGGCCUUCGGGUCGUAAACUGCUUUUUUAUGGGAUGAAGUUUUUUUGACAGUACCAUAAGAAUAAGAGGUUGCUAACUCUGUGCCAGCAGCAGCGGUAAUACAGAGACCUCAAGCGUUAUCCGGAUUUAUUGGGCGUAAAGUGCGCGUAGGGGGUUCGACACGUCUUUUGUAAAAUUUCACCGCUUAACGGUGAACUCGCAAGAGAUACGGUCAAACUAGAGGGAGUCAGAGGUCAUUUAGAACGCACGGUGUAGGGGUGAAAUCCGUUGAUAUCGUGCGGAAUACCAAAGGCGAAGGCAAAUGACUGGGGCUUUUCUGACCCUGAGGCGCGAAAGCGUGGGGAGCAAAAAGG